rnacentral:lncRNA from 1 species
AGGGUAAAUUUCUUUCUAUUCUUUUAGAAUAUUUAUAUAUUAUGAAUUGAAUAUUUGAAUUUAUCCAUGGUAAUUUUUGGCAUGGUAAUUUUUGGCAAUACUUGGAAAUGCAGUGUUAUACGCCUACCAAUUUCCCUCCUGCCCUCUUGCUUUUUUUGUAUGUAGCUUCAGUUUUCCAUAGCUUCAGUUUUCCAAGUCCCACACUAAGGACCGCAGCCCACCAUGCCCAGUUUCUUCUACCUCUUUUCAUGUAAGUGCCUUACUGAGACUGUUAACCUGCCCCCAACCUCCCCCCACCAAAAAAAAAAAGGUCAAAAUAUUACUUUUAAAAAUUAAAAAAAAAGGGGGGGGGGGUUGGGGAUUUAACUCAGAGGUAGAGCGCCUGCCUAGCAAGGGCAAGUUCCUGGGUUUGGUCCCCAGCUCAGUGGUUAAGAGCAAUGACUGCUCUUCCAGAGGUCCUGAGUUCAAUUCCCAGCAACCACAUGGUGGCUCACAACCAUCUGUAAUGGGAUCUGAUGCCCUCUUCUGGUGUGUCUGAAGACAGCUACAGUGUACUCCUAUACAUAAAAUAAAUGAGUUUUUUUUAAA